rnacentral:rRNA from 1 species
GAUGAACGCUGGCGGCGUGCCUAAUACAUGCAAGUCGAGCGAAUGGAUUAAGAGCUUGCUCUUAUGAAGUUAGCGGCGGACGGGUGAGUAACACGUGGGUAACCUGCCCAUAAGACUGGGAUAACUCCGGGAAACCGGGGCUAAUACCGGAUAACAUUUUGAACCACAUGGUUCGAAAUUGAAAGGCGGCUUCGGCUGUCACUUAUGGAUGGACCCGCGUCGCAUUAGCUAGUUGGUGAGGUAACGGCUCACCAAGGCAACGAUGCGUAGCCGACCUGAGAGGGUGAUCGGCCACACUGGGACUGAGACACGGCCCAGACUCCUACGGGAGGCAGCAGUAGGGAAUCUUCCGCAAUGGACGAAA